rnacentral:rRNA from 1 species
GAUAAACGCUGGCGGCGUGCAUGAGACAUGCAAGUCAUACGGACGAGCUUGCUCGUUAGUGGCGAACGGCUGAGUAACGCGUAGGUGACCUGCCCCGAAGUGGGGGAUAACUGCCCGAAAGGGUGGCUAAUACCGCAUGUGGCGACGUGUUCAUUCACGUCAUCAAAGCCGCGAGGCGCUUCGGGAGGGGCCUGCGUCCGAUUAGCUCGUUGGUGGGGUAACGGCUCACCAAGGCGACGAUCGGUAGGUGGACUGAGAGGACGACCAGCCACACUGGAACUGAGACACGGUCCAGACUCCUACGGGAGGCAGCAGUGGGGAAUUUUGGACAAUGGGCGCAAGCCUGAUCCAGCCAUUCCGCGUGGGUGACGAAGGCCUUCGGGUCGUAAAACCCUUUUGUCAGGGACGAGUGAGGACGGUACCUGGCGAAUAAGUCUCGGCUAACUACGUGCCAGCCGCCGCAGUAAAAC